rnacentral:rRNA from 1 species
UACGUAGGGCGCAAGCGUUGUCCGGAAUUAUUGGGCGUAAAGAGCUCGUAGGUGGCUUGUCGCGUCUGCCGUGAAAGCCCACGGCUUAACUGUGGGUCUGCGGUGGAUACGGGCAGGCUGGAGGCUGGUAGGGGCAAGCGGAAUUCCUGGUGUAGCGGUGAAAUGCGCAGAGAUCGGGAGGAACACCAAUGGCGAAAGCAGGUACCUGGACUAGUACUGACACUCAGCUGCGAAAGCUAGGGGAGCAAACAGG